rnacentral:misc_RNA from 1 species
GUCAAAUUUGUCAUUGGGUGCAUAUUAAUUCCUCUGGCUUCCAGGUUCCUUGCAACCACUGCUCUCAUUUCAUCAUCGAAACCUCUUAGUGGAAGUUCCCUUCUAAAACAUAGGUCAACUUUAGCACCCAUACCAUUCCAGAUCGAAGCGAACUCAACAGCAAUGUACCCUCCUCCAAGCACCACGACACGCUUAGGCAACUCCUCUAAACUCAAAGCCUCAUCAGAUGUUAUCCCCCACUCCUUCCCGGGAAUAUCAGGAAUGACAGCUCUACUGCCAGUUGCAAUCAGUAUGUGCUUUGCUGAGUAGCAUAUUUUGGUACCAUCAAGUUGUGUCACCUCAACUUCAUGUGGACCAACAAUCUUUCCCUCUCCUUCAUACAUUUUUACUCCCGCAUUACUCAGUAAACGCUUGUAAAUCCCAUUUAAUCGGACUAUCUCAUCUGUCUUCUUUCGUAAAAGUUUCUUCCAAUCAAAAUCUACUUUCUCAUUCACAUCCCAACCAAAACUUCGAGCAUCCUGAAGCUCAGAACCAAAUGUUGCCCCAUACACUAGAAUCUUUUUGGGAACGCAGCCACGAAUGACACACGUUCCACCAAUUCCUCCAACUACUUCUGAG